rnacentral:rRNA from 1 species
CGCCCGCCGCGCGCGGCGGGCGGGGCGGGGGCACGGGGGGCCUACGGGAGGCAGCAGUGGGGAAUAUUGGACAAUGGGCGAAAGCCUGAUCCAGCAAUGCCGCGUGUGUGAAGAAGGCCUUCGGGUUGUAAAGCUCUUUAGGCUGGAAAGAAAAAGCUUGGGCGAAUAACUCAAGUCUUGACGGUACCAGCAGAAUAAGCACCGGCUAACUCUGUGCCAGCAGCCGCGGUAAU